rnacentral:rRNA from 1 species
UACGAAGGGGGCUAGCGUUGCUCGGAAUUACUGGGCGUAAAGCGCACGCAGGUGGCUGAGUCAGUCGAUUGUGAAAGCCCUGGGCUUAACCUGGGAAUUGCAGUCGAUACUACUCAGCUAGAGUAUGGGAGAGGGCAGUGGAAUUCCCGGUGUAGCGGUGAAAUGCGUAGAUAUCGGGAGGAACAUCAGUGGCGAAGGCGGCUGCCUGGCCCAAUACUGACACUCAGGCGCGACAGCGUGGGGAGCAAACAGG